UGCGACAUCACAGUGAUCCACAUUGACAGUGACAUCACUACUCAACUAACGGGUGGGACUUCGCAGGCUUUCUCAUUCCAGCAGUGUGCUGUGGAUAUUGAAUCACUACCUAACUGUCAGGAAAAUGUGCCUGGUACUUGGUGGCAACUGCCUUGUCAAACAAUAAUAAUGCUCUUUUGUGCCUUAACUUUUUUCCUGAGAAUGAAACAGAAUCCGUUGCAGAGUCUGCUCGACGUUGGAUCUGUGCAUAUGUUGAUUCCGGAUGGUGCGAUCUGCUGAAUGAAGCGGGAACGGGUGAGGGCCACUUGUUGGGGCUAACACAAGGGACAGCAGAGUAUGAAGCCCACAGCGGACCGGGGACUAGGAUGUGCCAGUAAACCUCUGAGUCGGGCUUGAGCGGAACUUGGAGGAUUUGUAUUCACAGAACUUGAAAUUUAGUGUGAACCAGGACGUUGACCAUGGAGACAGAGCUGAGCACUGGUCUCUCUGCAUGGACCAUCAUGGCCAUUGUGUGUAACUCUGUAGUGGGCGUCCUCACCCUUAUCCUCUUCGUCAUCCUCUACAAGGCCUGCAAGGUGCCCUCUUGCCAAGAGAGGUCAGCAGUACUGACAGUAGCCCGGGAGCAGCAGAGGGGCAAGCAGAAAUGCUUACUGACUACAGCCUGAUUAUGGACGUACAGAGGAAAAACACUUCUUGGCCAAACAGACUGCCACUGACUGUUAACUAACACAAUGAGUGAAAACUAAAAAACGAAUGUUUCGGGGUCCUUAUCUGUCAAGUCAUUCUCUCCAUCGAUCUCUCUAUCCCCCCCCCUCCCCACACCUCUUUCUUUCUGCCUCUCUUUGUCUCUCCCUGCCACAUUACGUAAACAAAAACACCAGCAUAAAUCCUCUUAUCUCCUUGGCUCUGCUCUGAGACUGUCCAUCUGUCAGUCUGUUUACACUCAGCAGUCUGGCCUCCCCCUGCUCAUCUGCACUAAACCACAAUCUGGGGAAUGAGGAAAAGGGUAAAUGAGAAAGGAAAUGAGGAGAGAGAGAGGGAGGGAGAGAGAGAGGGAAAGAGAACAGCCCUCAUCUCAUCAGAGACAACUUGAUGUUGACUAACUGGAGAAAUAAUGAUGCCAGGGAUAGUGAAAUAGACCACAAGAGAGACAGAGCAGAGAGGGAGAUAGAGAGAUAGAUGCGGAACAAAGGACGGACGUGAAAGUGGAAGAGGGAAAAGGAUGUUUUGAUGAGGUGUUGUUUACUGAAAGAACGCUCAAGGCCCUCUGUGACUUCGAAGUCUCCAGCACCCACAGAUCAACUCUCAAGGGUUUAUGAAAAACAACGACUGAGGGAAAUUAAAGGGACACUUUCAUAUGUCUGUCUGCCACUGAAUGGGCUCCUAUAAAACACAAAAGUAUUGUUAUUUAUAGACAAGCUUCCAAAGGAGUGACACUCAAAGAGAUAAUGAGACUCAAUGUGACUAUUUUCAAAAGUCUCCUGUAGCUAACGGUGGUGUGACGCAGAAAAUCAAAAUGACUUCCUGAAACAGAUGGAUCUACCAUGUACUGUGCCAUGUCAUUCAGCAUUCCAUACAUGUAAUUAUGACUGUGAUGCUGUUCUGUGAAUCAUGGACAUAAUGUUUUAUUUUCAUUGUAUUUUUUAUUAACUCAAUAAAAUGUUUUACUUUUGUGUA